UCUCCUUUCAGAGGUGGGGGUGAAGCACUCAGGAGAACACCACUCCUCCGACCCAGGUUUUGCUACACAAAAGUCUAAACAAAGUACAACAUACUGGUUCCCUCUCAGAAACUGCAAUAAUGGCAUGAGGCACAAACCAAAGAAGGAUCUUAUUGAGAGAAAGAAGAGAGAGGUCGUUCUUGUCCCUGUGUGUGUAAAUGUGAAGCUGUCAAGGAAGAGAUCACUAAAAGUUGGUGGUAUCACUACAUAUGAGUCUUCCUCAGUGAUUUCUGAAUCAUGAACUGGCUGUCUAUGAAAAGAGUGGAGUGAAUUGUGAAGUGACAAAUAAACAGAGCACAGAUCACCUUUCUUCAAUCAGCAAAGAAGAAUUAGGUAAUAAUAGGCUAUUUUAAAUAGUAGGCUUGAUUAUAAAUGUUGGUUAACUGGCCUUUACCUACAUCAUCAUGAUCAAGCUACUGUAAUACAGUCAUUCAGUAUUGCUAUAUAGUAUCCUACACUGUUAAUUUAACGUAUAUAUUUUAUAGUCAAUUAACUUCUAUAAAUGUGUACAUUUUGUAGUUAGCAACAGCAGCUGAUAUUCUGUUAGGUUUGUGUACUACAUAUCUCUGUUGCUGGUAAUAUAUCUAUGCCUUAUA